UGACGGUACCACUUGAAUAAGCUCCGGCUAACUACGUGCCAGCAGCCGCGGUAAUACGUAGGGAGCAAGCGUUAUCCGGAUUUACUGGGUGUAAAGGGCGUGUAGGCGGGACAUCAAGUCAGAUGUGAAAGCACGGGGCUCAACUCCGUGUCUGCAUUUGAAACUGUAGUUCUUGAGUGUUGGAGAGGCUAACGGAAUUCCUAGUGUAGCGGUGAAAUGCGUAGAUAUUAGGAGGAACACCAGUGGCGAAGGCGGUUAGCUGGACAAUAACUGACGCUGAGGCGCGAAAGCGUGGGUAGCAAACAGGAUUAGAUACCCUG
rnacentral:rRNA from 1 species